rnacentral:rRNA from 1 species
GAGCAUGUGGUUUAAUUCGAAGCUACGCGAAGAACCUUACCAGGUCUUGACAUACUAUGCAAAUCUAAGAGAUUAGACGUUCCCUUCGGGGACAUGGAUACAGGUGGUGCAUGGUUGUCGUCAGCUCGUGUCGUGAGAUGUUGGGUUAAGUCCCGCAACGAGCGCAACCCUUAUUAUCAGUUGCCAGCAUUAAGUUGGGCACUCUGGUGAGACUGCCGGUGACAAACCGGAGGAAGGUGGGGAUGACGUCAAAUCAUCAUGCCCCUUAUGACCUGGGCUACACACGUGCUACAAUGGAUGGUACAACGAGUUGCGAACUCGCGAGAGUAAGCUAAUCUCUUAAAGCCAUUCUCAGUUCGGAUUGUAGGCUGCAACUCGCCUACAUGAAGUCGGAAUCGCUAGUAAUCGCGGAUCAGCAUGCCGCGGUGAAUACGUUCCCGGGCCUUGUACACACCGCCCGUCACACCAUGAGAGUUUGUAACACCCAAAGUCGGUGGGGUAACCUUUAGGAACCAGCCGCCUAAGGUGGGACAGAUGAUUAGGGUGAAGUCGUAACAAGGUAACCA